rnacentral:rRNA from 1 species
GCAAGUCGUGCGGGAAGUGGGGGCAACUCCAUGAGUACAGCGGCGCACGGGUGAGUAACACGUAGGUAACCUACCUUCGAGCCCGGGAUAACCUGUCGAAAGACGGGCUAAUACCAGAUAAGACCACGGAGGUUGCGACUUCCGGGGUAAAAGGUGGCCUCUGCUUGCAAGCUACCGCUUGAGGAUGGGCCUGCGCGCCAUUAGCUAGUUGGCGGGGUAAUGGCCCACCAAGGCAAAGAUGGCUAGCUGGUCUGAGAGGAUGACCAGCCACACUGGGACUGAGACACGGCCCAGACUCCUACGGGAGGCAGCAGUGGGGAAUAUUGCGCAAUGGGCGAAAGCCUGACGCAGCGACGCCGCGUGGGUGAUGAAGGCCUUCGGGUCGUAAAGCCCUGUCGGGGGGGACGAAACCUCGGCGACCUAAUAUGUCGUCGACCUGACGGUACCUCCGAAGGAAGCACCGGCUAACUCCGUGCCAGCAGCCGCGGUAAUACGGAGGGUGCGAGCGUUGUUCGGAAUCACUGGGCGUAAAGCGCGUGUAGGCGGCCUUGUAAGUCUGAUGUGAAAGCCCGGGGCUUACCCCCGGAAGUGCAUUGGAAACUGCGAGGCUAGAGUACCGGAGAGGAAGGU